GUCAGUUCUAAUCCCUUCCUUCUCCUCCUUUGGGCUAACCGAGAAUAGCACAAAACCAACUGCAAACUGACAAAAGUUUACUGUCAAAAGUUUUGUAUUUUCUUAUAUUGUGAUUCAAGGAUAUAUUCAUUUGUUGAUAUUAAUUUGGACAAGUGAAUGGGCUCCGAAAUCUUGACUAGUGAACGCAUAAUAUCUAUUGGGAUUGGCAAAAUGAUUGUGGCUUUCUG
rnacentral:misc_RNA from 1 species